rnacentral:piRNA from 1 species
GUAUCCCCGUUUACUGUGUUGA